AACACUGUUAACCUGCGGUACCUGCGGAGGGAUCAUUACCGAGUUUACAACUCCCAAACCCCUGUGAACAUACCACUUGUUGCCUCGGCGGAUCAGCCCGCUCCCGGUAAAACGGGACGGCCCGCCAGAGGACCCCUAAACUCUGUUUCUAUAUGUAACUUCUGAGUAAAACCAUAAAUAAAUCAAAACUUUUAGCAAUGGAUCU
rnacentral:misc_RNA from 1 species